rnacentral:rRNA from 1 species
GCCUACGGCCAUGCCACUCUGAACACGCCCGAUCUCGUCUGAUCUCGGAAGUUAAGCAGGGUCCGGCCCAGUUAGUACUUGGAUGGGAGACCACCUAGGAAGACCAGGUGCUACAGGUG